rnacentral:rRNA from 1 species
CCUACGGGGGACAGCAGUGAGGAAUAUUGGUCAAUGGGCGCGAGCCUGAACCAGCCAAGUCGCGUGAAGGAUGACUGCCCUACGGGUUGUAAACUUCUUUUAUAAAGGAAUAAAGUGAGGCACGUGUGCCUUUUUGUAUGUACUUUAUGAAUAAGGAUCGGCUAACUCCGUUCCAGCAGCCGCGGUAAUACGGAGGCUCCGAGCGUUAUCCGGAUUUAUUGGGUUUAAAGGGAGCGUAGAUGGGUUGUUAAGUCAGUUGUGAAAUUUUGCGGCUCAACCGUAAGAUGGCAAUUGAUACUGGCAGUCUUGAGUACAGUUGAGGUAGGCGGAAUUCGUGGUGUAGCGGUGAAAUGCUUAGAUAUCACGAAGAACUCCGAUGGCGAAGGCAGCUUACUAAACUGCCACUGACAUUGAUGCUCGAAAGUGUGGGUAUCAAACAGGAUUAGAUACCCGUGUAGUC